GGAAAUCUACCUAGUAGUACGGAAUAAUUGUUGGAAACGGCAACUAAUACCGUAUACGCCCUACGGGGGAAAAAUUUAUUGCUAUUAGAUGAGCCUAUAUUAGAUUAGCUAGUUGGUGGAGUAAUAGCCUACCAAGGCAAUGAUCUAUAGCUGAUCUGAGAGGAUGAUCAGCCACACUGGAACUGAGAUACGGUCCAGACUCCUACGGGAGGCAGCAGUGGGGAAUAUUGGACAAUGGGCGAAAGCCUGAUCCAGCCAUGCCGCAUGAGUGAAGAAGGCCUUUGGGUUGUAAAGCUCUUUUAGUGAGGAAGAUAAUGACGGUACUCACAGAAGAAGUCCUGGCUAACUCCGUGCCAGCAGCCGCGGUAAUACGGAGAGGGCUAGCGUUAUUCGGAAUUAUUGGGCGUAAAGGGCGCGUAGGCUGGUUAAUAAGUUAAAAGUGAAAUCCCGAGGCUUAACCUUGGAAUUGCUUUUAAAACUAUUAAUCUAGAGAUUGAAAGAGGAUAGAGGAAUUCCUGAUGUAGAGGUAAAAUUCGUAAAUAUUAGGAGGAACACCAGUGGCGAAGGCGUCUAUCUGGUUCAAAUCUGACGCUGAAGCGCGAAGGCGUGGGGAGCAAACAGGAUUAGAUACCCUGGUAGUCCACGCUGUAAACGAUGAAUGUUAAAUAUGGGAAGUUUACUUUCUGUAUUACAGCUAACGCGUUAAACAUUCCGCCUGGGGACUACGGUCGCAAGAUUAAAACUCAAAGGAAUUGACGGGGACCCGCACAAGCGGUGGAGCAUGUGGUUUAAUUCGAUGCAACGCGAAAAACCUUACCACUUCUUGACAUGAAAUC
rnacentral:rRNA from 1 species